rnacentral:rRNA from 1 species
CCUACGGGAGGCAGCAGUAGGGAAUCUUCCACAAUGGACGAAAGUCUGAUGGAGCAACGCCGCGUGAGUGAAGAAGGGUUUCGGCUCGUAAAGCUCUGUUGGUAGUGAAGAAAGAUAGAGGUUGUAACUGGUCUUUAUUUGACGGUAAUUACUUAGAAAGUCACGGCUAACUACGUGCCCGCCGCCGCGGUAAUACGUAGGUGGCAAGCGUUGUCCGGAUUGAUUGGGCGUAAAGCGAGUGCAGGCGGUUCAAUAAGUCUGAUGUGAAAGCCUUCGGCUCAACCGGAGAAUUGCAUCAGAAACUGUUGAACUUGAGUGCAGAAGAGGAGGGUGGAACUCCAGGUGUAGCGGUAGAAUGCGUAGAUAUAUGGAAGAACACCAGUGGCGAAGGCGGCUCUCUGGUCUGCAACUGACGCUGAGGCUCGAAAGCAUGGGUAGCGAACAGGAUUAGAUACCCGAGUAGUC